rnacentral:lncRNA from 1 species
CGAGUUAGUCAUCGACCAUACAAGCUAUGUGUAUGGCAAUGCAGAUCGAUUUGCAUUUUCUUUUCUUUUUUCCGUACUCUUUUCUUAUGGGCAGUACCCCAUCAUGAGCAUGUGCGGUUUUGCUAUAAUUUCCAAAACCUAGUAGUAUAGGAUACCUCUGUCAUGUCCUUACCACCAAUCGCCAACGUACGUAGUCAAAUGCUAUGCUAUGUUAGUAUUCGAGGGUGGUAUUAUUACAAUAUGUUAUCAUUGUCAUUGAGAAGUAAUUUCGGAAACUUGGCAAAACAACCCCAACGAAUCAUCCUGGGUGGACUGCUUUGAGAUUUUGAGAUGUUAUGCGACGUC